UGGGGAAUAUUGCACAAUGGGCGCAAGCCUGAUGCAGCCAUGCCGCGUGUAUGAAGAAGGCCUUCGGGUUGUAAAGUACUUUCAGUCGGGAGGAAGGUGGUAAGGUUAAUAACCUUGGCGAUUGACGUUACCCGCAGAAGAAGCACCGGCUAACUCCGUGCCAGCAGCCGCGGUAAUACGGAGGGUGCAAGCGUUAAUCGGAGUUACUGGGCGUAAAGCGCACGCAGGCGGUCUGUCAAGUCGGAUGUGAAAUCCCCGGGCUCGACCUGGGAACUGCAUUCGAAACUGGCAGGCUAGAGUCUUGUAGAGGGGGGUAGAAUUCCAGGUGUAGCGGUGAAAUGCGUAGAGAUCUGGAGGAAUACCGGUGGCGAAGGCGGCCCCCUGGACAAAGACUGACGCUCAGGUGCGAAAGCGUGGGGAGCAAACAGG
rnacentral:rRNA from 1 species